GCCAAAUUCUGGAAUAGCUCAGUUGGUAGAGCAUGAGACUCUUAAUUUCAGGGUAACGAGUUCAAGCCUCACGUUAGGCA